CUGGCCGGGAGCCCGGCGGCGGCUCCGGGGAUGGUCCACGCACUGGCGCCGUCACGUGUUGUUCUCCUUGGAGUGAGCCUGAGUCGCGGCGGCGGGCGGAGGGGGCUGGACUGGCGAGCGCGGCCCCCGCCGGCUGUUUUGGUGCGGGGCGCCGGGAAACUCCGAGGAGAAGCCGACGGAGAAGGAGCCGCCGCUGCGGUGCCCGCUCCCCCGGUGGGCUGGGGCACGGGAGGGGGCUGCGCCGCCGGCCGCUGAGGCGCUGCCGCCUGGAAUGAAGAGGAGGAGGAAGAGAGGAUGUUCCUUCGGCACUCGGGCUUGCCUCCCCUCCCGCCGCUGCCGGGCUGCGCCGCGUGUGGAAAUGGCACUUUCUCUGCCUAACGAGAUGGGACUGAAUGGGGUCGCCAGCCUCCUCCGCAUGCACAAGCGGGAACAGCAGCCUCGGCGCUGAUAUUUGGGGAAGGGGGAUUGUAUUGUGGGCGGCAUUUUUUUAAAAUUUGUUUUCUCUUUUUGGGGGGAAGGGCGAGAGAGGGGAAAGCAGCGUGUAUUUUUGGGUGCAAACCCCGGACUUUGCAAAACAAUCUCCGCCCCCGAGAGGAUAUUUAAUCUGCAACAGCGAUCGCUGCUCGCGGAGGCAAACUUGAGCCGGGGAAGGGGAGCAGGGAGCGGAGGAAAGGGACCCCCGCCCCGUUCCUGGCCCCGCCGGAGCCCGACCCCUGCGAGGGAAGAUGCGUUUCUCAUUCCCGGCGGCUGAUUUUGGGACGAGACUUUCGUCAGGACUGAUCGGGACUGGACUUUUUAAGGACGAGCUUACCCAUCUAAGCGCGAUUUGGGCAUAAACAGCAACACAAACUCUGAUUUGGUGCUGGAAGCUGCCUCUGCCACUGAACAGCUGCUCUCACCCUGCUUCUGUCCCUCCCCCGUCCCGUUCUCAAAAGAGGAUCCUGAGCUUUUUUUUUUUUUUUUUUAAUUGUUGUUGCAUGAAUUUUAUUUUAGGUGGUUGCCUUUCCCGGCUGGAUUGGCUGUUUUGGGGUCUUGCAGACUGCGAGCUGCAGUAACAGCUCCACCGCCUCUCAUCAUGGCCAGCCCCACGGAUAAUAACGAGGGCUUCUUCUCAGAUGUCAGAAAGGUGGGUUACUUGCGCAAACCCAAGAGCAUGCAUAAACGAUUUUUCGUGCUGAGGGCAGCCAGUGAGUCUGGACCUGCCCGGCUGGAGUAUUAUGAGAAUGAAAAGAAAUGGAGACACAAGUCAGGGGCCCCCAAGCGCUCCAUCCCACUAGAAAGCUGCUUUAACAUCAACAAACGGGCUGACUCCAAGAACAAGCACCUGGUGGCCCUCUACACCAAGGACGAGCACUUUGCCAUUGCAGCUGACAGCGAACCUGAGCAGGAGAGCUGGUACCAAGCGCUACUGCAGUUGCACAACAGGGCCAAGGGCCACCACCACCUCCAUCACCAUCACCACCACCACCACAGCGAUGUCACUUUUGGAGGCAGCAGCACAGGACUGGGGGAAGCAGGUGAGGAGAGCUAUGGUGAGGUAGCCCCUGGUCCAGCUUUUAAGGAAGUUUGGCAAGUAAUUCUGAAGCCUAAGGGCCUAGGCCAGACAAAGAACCUGAUUGGCAUCUACCGCCUGUGCCUGACUAACAAGACCAUCAGCUUUGUAAAGCUGAAUUCAGAUGCGGCUGCUGUGGUGCUGCAGCUGCUCAAUAUCCGCCGCUGUGGUCACUCUGAGAACUUCUUCUUCAUUGAGGUGGGACGCUCAGCUGUCACCGGACCUGGUGAGUUCUGGAUGCAAGUGGAUGACUCAGUGGUGGCACAGAACAUGCAUGAAACUAUCCUGGAGGCCAUGCGAGCCAUGAGUGAGGAAUUCCGGCCCCGCAGCAAGAGCCAGUCCUCCUCAAACUGUUCCAACCCAAUCUCUGUGCCCCUUCGCAGCAGGCACCAUGUCAGCAACCCUCCCCCGAGCCAAGUGGGGCUCAGUCGGCGGUCCAGGACCGAGAGUGUCACGGCCACUUCUCCUGCCGGUGGUGGAGGUACAGGUGGCAAACCCAGCUCUUUCCGGGUUCGAGCAUCGAGUGAUGGGGAAGGCACAAUGUCAAGACCUGCCUCUGUGGAUGGUAGCCCAGUUAGUCCCAGUGCUAACCGGACUCAUUCACACAGACACCGUGGCAACUCCAGGCUCCAUCCUCCACUCAACCACAGCCGGUCCAUCCCAAUGCCUUCCUCACGCUGCUCUCCUUCAGCCACCAGUCCAGUCAGCCUGUCAUCCAGCAGCACCAGUGGCCAUGGCUCCACCUCAGACUGCCUGUUUCCACGAAGGUCUAGUGCUUCAGUUUCUGGCUCCCCUAGUGAUGGUGGAUUUAUUUCUUCUGAUGAGUAUGGUUCUAGCCCAUGUGACUUUCGCAGCUCUUUUCGCAGUGUAACCCCUGAUUCAUUGGGACACACCCCCCCUGCCCGAGGUGAUGAAGACCUCAACUACAUCUGCAUGGGAGGGAAGGCCACCUCCUCUUGCUGCAGCCUAGCAGCACCCAACGGCCACUUCAUCCCACGAACCUGCCACCCUCAGCAGCAACCCCGCUAUCCUAGUACACCCUGCUGUCCUCGAGGUGGUAGUGAGGAGGUUGCCGACUUGGAGAAGGCAUUCAGGAAGCGAACUCACUCUGCAGGCACUUCGCCUACCAUCUCCCACCAGAAGACACCCUCGCAGUCUUCUGUGGCUUCCAUUGAGGAGUACACGGAGAUGCUGCCUUCUUACCCCUGUGGCAGCAGCAGGCUGCCCUCCUACCGCCACUCAGCCUUUGUGCCCACUCACUCCUACCCAGAGGAGUGCCUGGAGAUGCACCCCAUGGACAGUGGCCAUCAUCGGACCAACCCCACCCCGCACACGGAUGAUGGCUACAUGCCCAUGUCACCUGGUGUAGCCCCUAUGCCCAGUGGGGGGGGGGGGCCCAAGGGUGGUGACUAUAUGCCCAUGAGUCCUAAGAGUGUGUCGGCCCCACAGCAGAUCAUCAACCCUGGCAGGGGUGGUCGCCACCCUCCAGCCACAGUGGACUCUAAUGGCUACAUGAUGAUGUCCCCCAGUGGCAGCUACUCCCCGGACAACAGCUCUGCGGGCUACGGCAAGAUCUGGACAAAUGGUUCUGGCCACCACCCAAAACUCUCAGUGGAGAGCAACGAGGGGAAGCUCCCCUGCGGUGGCAGCGACUAUAUCAACAUGUCCCCAGCCAGCGGCUCCACCACCAGCACUCCGCCCGACUGCUACUUCGGGGCUGCGGGGCAGCCGGGGGUUGAGGAGGCGGUCACCGCAGCGCACCACAAACCCAUCUACUCUUACUUCUCGCUGCCACGCUCCUUCAAGCACGUGCACCGGCGGGGCGGCAGCAGGCCGGCGGGGGCAGCCGAGCAGGGCAGCCCUCAGCCCCGCAUCGCACUCGGCUCCAGCCGCCUCCUUUACGCGACCGAGGACUCGUCCUCCUCCACCAGCAGCGACAGCCUGGGCGGCGGCGGCGGCCCCGAGGGCGGCCCCCCGCCUCAAGCGCAGACCCCGCGCAAGGUGGACACGGCCGUGCAGACCAAGGGCCGCCUGGCGCGCCCCACGCGGCUGUCGCUGGGCGGCCCCAAGGCCAGCACCCUGCCACGGGCCCGGGAGCAGCCCCCCGUGCUGCUGCCCCCGGAGCCCAAGAGCCCCGGCGAGUACGUGAACAUCGAGUUCAUCGCCGGCGAGAAACCGCCCUUCCCCUCGGCUGCCCUGAACAUGGCCCUGCCGCCGCCGGGCAGCGAGGCCGCCGAGGAGUACAUGAACAUGGAGCCGGGCCCGCCGCGGGCCCCCUGCCCGCCUGGCUUCGCUACCGCGCGGGCGGCCCGGCCUGGCCGGGACUACGUGGCGAUGCAGCGGGGGGGUGCCGCGGCCGGCGGGGGCUCCUGCUCGGACUGCGCCGACAGUCCGUCCCCCGGCUCGCCCGCCCGCCUGCUCGGCUACGCCGAGGUGCGGGGGGGCCGCGCCGGCCCCGAAAAGCCCCCGCCGGCGGCCGCCACCGCGGCGUCCCCGGAGCUGCCGCGGCCGCCGGCCGAGCUGGCGGCGGCGCCGCCGCGCUCCUCCUCCCUGCUGGGGGGCCUGGGCGCGGGUAGCGCCUUCACCCGCGUCAGCCUCAGCCCCGGCCGCAACCAGAGUGCCAAGGUGAUCCGCGCCGAUCCGCAGGGCGGCCGGCGGCGGCACAGCUCCGAGACCUUCUCCUCCACGCCGAGCGCGGCCCGCGGAGCGGUGAGCGGGCUCGGGGCACCCUUCCCCUGCGGCGGCGCGGGGGGCGCCGAGGAGGUGAAGCGGCAUAGCUCGGCCUCCUUCGAGAACGUGUGGCUGCGGCCUGGCGCGGGGGAGGCGGCCUCCCGCCGGGAGCCGGGGGCCGCGCCCGCCCUGGAGAACGGGCUCAACUACAUCGACCUGGACUUGGUGAGGGACUGCGGCCACCGCCGCCAUCACCACCCGCACGGCCCCGCCGAGGCGAAGCAGCCGCUGCCGCCGAAGCCCCCGGGCCAGCAGCGCGGGAGCGGCCACUGCGGCGAGGACCUGAGCGCGUACGCCAGCAUCAGCUUCCAGAAGCGGGAGGAGAUGUAGGAGCCGGCCGUCCGCCGGGGAAGCUUACUAUCAGCCAUGGGAAUUUACAAGUUUUCCAACGAGACUGAAGAAAUCCAGGAAACCACAAUGACAGAUCCACUUGAAACAACCAUUUCAUGUCCUUUGCUACAUGUUGAGCACAGCCCAGACCUUUGAGAAUUUUCUAUAUACUAAGAUGAGGAAAAAGAAUGAUCCUAAUGGGUCUUUCAGAGAUUCUGUUGUUGGAUACUUUUCUGCUUUCACACAGGCUUGAUUCUGACAUGUCUGUUGACUUCAGUAAAGGUGUGAUUGUGGAAGAGCUCAGUGCUGAUCUGCAGCCUCAAGUUAUGGAAGCCCAGUGGGAAGAGAGAAAGACUUAAAUGGAAGGCCCUCUGAAACCAGCCCUGCUGGGAGUCACUUGUACUGCUGCUGCUGUCCAGUGUGGCAACCAAGCAUGAGACCAUCCUUUUGGGCUGUGAUCAGGAGGUAUUAUUUUCUGUCCUGAGACCUGAACAGGCAGAUCUCAUCACCCCACUGUAUUUUGAAGCUGCUAUUUCUGUUGUCAGACAAGCCUCUACACUCUGUGAAUCUAUCAUGAAGAGAGGCCUUACCCCAUUCAUUGUCUUAGGAAACAGUCCUGCUGGCUUCAGAAACAUCAAAAUAAAGGCCUCCAGUGACAGCCGCUGUUUGAUAAAGGACACAUAUUGGCAAAAUGGACCUUUUGACUUGCUCCAGAAUGGCCAUUCUUAUCGUUCUAUGCAAAAAACCACACCAAACCAAAACAACCCUACAAAAAAGCCUCAAUCAAACAGUCAUCCAAAAUACUAAAUAACAAGAAACAAUUCUGUUACUAAGAAAUGGUUCUCAGAUCAAAAUACUGAAAAUCAACAAAAAGGAAAAAAUAAGUUUUGUGAAAGUAACUUGGCUUCAUUUUCUGGAGUUCUUAGCUAGAACAUUUCCAUUGAUAGAGUUGCUAAGUGCAUUCUAUUUGCAAAUAUAAACACUUGAUUUUGAUCAGCAAAAAUGCAUCAGCACACUUGAACAGUGUCAAUGAUGAUAUAAUUACACUCACAAUUUCCUCUCUGUAAUGAUUUUUAAAUGUCAGCAGUCAUUUUUUGUCUAAUUGUAGCCUGCAUGUCAGCACUUCCUCUUAAAACAGCAUGUUCCUCUCUGCUGGAAUUUCACACCUCUCCACUCACUCACUCACUUCACCAGUGAAGAUAAUGAAGAUGAUAAAGGGCUCCAGGAUAUUUUCACUACUGUACUGCUUUACUAUUUAACAUCAAGCAGGCAGAAUGAGAACUUUUUUUUAAAAAAAACAGUAGAGAGUUUGAUCAGUUAGACUAUAAAUAAUUAUUUGAUUUUAAUGAACAAAUCAAAAAGCAGUUUUCAUUUCUCAGACCCCCUGCUGGUGCUUUACUAAUAACCUGUUUAAAAGCUGGGGGCUGUGAUAAAAAUAUUCCCACGCAUCAAGACCUAAACUUACUCACUGGAGGAGAAGGCUGACCGUGCAGUGCCAGCCCAUCUCUUGAUCACUUCAGUGUUUAGCACAGUGCAAAGCAGGUGACACUUGCUCUGCAAAGGCUGCCUGGUUGGAGAUGUUAUUGCUACCAUCUGUUGCUAUGACCUAGAAAGUGACUUUCCAAAUGCUAUUUUGCACUGCUCCAGGCCACCAGAGCCCAAAGCAUAACAAAUAGGUGCACCUCAGGGCUCUCUUCCUCCUUCCACAGACUACAUCAUCAAGUGUAUGGAAGUGAACCACUUGUGCAAUGAACUGGAAGCUCUGCACUGAGGUUAGAACGAACAUUUUCCACUCAUCUGAACAAACUCUGGAAUUGGAAACAGGGGACAAGGAGGCCUCCUUCAAUCCAAUUUGCUUGUAACUCAUCUCCAACUCUCUGAUGCUGCUUACCUGUAGGGUUUAGGAGAUAAAGCUUAUCAUUUACUGGCCCAUUUAAUAUCAAAACAGGUGAAAAGCCAGAAAGAAUUCACACUGUGAAGUCAAAUAAUGAAAUAAGGUUGAGAUGUCUGAUAAAAAAAGAAUACAAUUGAGUAUCUCUAAUCACAAAUACACAUGCACAAAAACAUAUCAAUUAGUUAUUUGUCUGAAUAUGUCUCCAAAAUAUAGAAGAAUGAAAAAUGAGUAAACUGAAUAAAGAGAGUGUAGGUGUGGGAGUGUGUUUUCUACAGCCCAUGAUAAAGUUCAUUAUGUUCCUCUGUCACAUUGCCAUCACAUGUGACUCCUAUAUACACAACUGUGUGUGUACACACAGGCAUGUGGGGAACAUGCACAGAUUCAUACAACACAAAUGCAGACCUGGGUCUCUUUGUGGUUUGUGCUGCAUUUUAUGUCCUACACUUUACUUUGAACUGCCUUUUUUGGCUAAAUUGGUGCCUCAGAAAUCUUCUGGAGCUCUUGGAAAGGGCAGGGUUUUUUAACAACUGCAUCCUAUGCACUUGUGAGAUGUGUGGAUGUGUAGAGACAAUCUGAAAAGAGAUGCUCCCGAGUCUGCUCAGUGCAGAGGGAUGUCCCCCAAGGAAACAAAACAAACCAAAGACACCAACAGCCAAGCAAUCAAGAGCAAAAGAAACCAGUCUUUGAGUACUCCCUGGAGAAUAUGAGUGCUCAAGACAGAGGACCUGCCAUGGGGAACACAGCAUAUGCAGGUCACUUGCCUGUGCCCACUCUCAAGAGAACAGGAAUCAAAAUCUAAAAAUACUAAAAGCUGAGAGACUAUGUAUAAGAUGAGCCUAGAACAUAGAGGCACUGCUCUAGAACUUUCCUUCUCCCCUACCCCUUCCCUUUUCCAGUUUUAUACCAAAGAGAAAAGUAGGCAAUAUUAAAAUUAGUUCUAAAUUGGGUGUAAUAUGCUCAUAGGCAAGUCAGCCAUACUGGAAUGUUACCACAAAGCAACAUAUGAGCGGGCUCCACUUCUGUGCACUGCACCACAGAAAUGAUCAACACCUCCUUGCCAAGUUGCUCAGCUAAAGGUAAAUUGAGAAAAGGGAAAGCAAGGUAAGAGCCAUUUCUGGAGUCUUCUGCAGAUCCAGGUGGCUUGCUGGAGGCUGUGAAAAGGAUUUUCUUAAGGCUAGUAAGAUGAAAAGGCACUUUGAUGAGAAGGUUCUUCUGUUUCCAUAGAAAAGCAAAAAGGACAUUUACCUCUCAGUUUGCCUCUUUGGGAUUACCUGCAGAAGACAAUCACACCCCACACAAAGCUGAGAUAAUGCUCAAUUACCCUGGCCAGGACUUUUUUUUUUUUUUUUUAGUUUACUACUGAGUCUCACUGUUCUGGUUUGAAACCCCAGCUUUUUAAUGAACUACCAAAGGCAAAUUACGUAUUACACCCACCCACCCCCAACAUUUGAACAUGAGGAAAUCUGCAAAGGGAAAGGGGAAAUGGAGUUUUCCGUUUCAGUGGACCAAAGGUAUGGGAUUAUUGACGUUACACAUAGGAAUUGAGUUUAUGUUUUACAUUACAGUCAAGCAUUCCUGUAGCUUCAAACAAACAAAUAAAGGCUGUUGAGAGAAUGACACGUUGUUCAUUUAGUGUCUAACAGUGGUACAUUCAGCCUGUAGGAGCACAGAAACAUUCCCUAUACUACCUGAACCAGGUUUAUAGCCUUUCAAAAUAAGACUGAUAUGGAUUGUGCUGUUUGGCUGAUUAUUCAUGACUCAGUCAUUGCAUACAGAGCAUUGGCUUCUGCUGCAUCUGAGGGUGCUUGACAUUUCUUAAAGUCAUGCCAAAAGUAUUUCAACUUGGCCUCUCAGAAAACGAUGCACAUUAAGCUAGAGACCACAUCUGAAAACUUCAGUUGAUUUGCUUCAUAUGAACUUGAAUUGAACCUCAACCUUACAAAACAAGGCAUAUUAAAGACAGCUGAAUAGUGACCAUGACAACACUGCUUCCAAAAAACCCAUAGGUAUAGUCAACAUUUAUACACAUAUACUGCGAGGGAUAAUACAUUCUUUUGUACGCUUAUUAAUACCAGUUCAUGCUGUGUGCAUAACUUUUCAUCAGCAAAACUGUACGUUAUGCAGGAGUUUCCAGAUACUAGUUUACCUUUAAUGUUUUUUGCUACUCUGAUAGGGCCCAUGCAAAAUGAAAUUAGUCAAAAUGUUCCAAGUUUUUGGCUUGGGUGCAAUAUGGUCUCAAAAUAUUGCCUCAAUUUUAAAAGCCUGUCUUGUGGUAAAAUCUGUGCUGCAACUAUAUGUUGCAUUCCACUAAGCCAUAACAUUAGUUAUAACAUCUUAAUUUCUUUUAUUUUUUAAUUGUGACAAAAAGAGUGACAUUCUUUUCAUUGCUGUAUUUUGGGAAGAUGAAUGCCAAUUUUUUGAAUAGAUUGUUUUGUUAAAUGAACCUUUAUUCCAUCUAGAUAUCUGCUAUUUUUCAUUCCUUGGACUAAAGGACGAUUCUUUAGUUUGGACUCUUGUCAGCACUGAUGUAAAGUGCUUUAUGCCUCAUUUUUAUAACCCAUUUUAUCCCAACUGCGGUGCAUUUUUAAUCCCCUUUUCACUACCUAAAUUGAGGAAUACGGCCUCAGUAUUGGAGAGGAAUAUGUUUAGUUUAUUUUGCAAUACCCUGCCAAGGGACAUUUUCCUAAAUGUGUAUUUUCUAAUCUUUAAUUAGUAUCACAAAUACUUUUGCAGCCUGCACAUUCUUCCAGUGCAAGGUUGUAUAGAGGAGUCACUGCAUUCUGCAUGUCCUGUGGGACUGUGUGAGGAGCUACAUGCUCCCCUUUCACACAGUGAACAAAAGCUAAAUUCUUGCCUUUUAUUUCUUUAUUUUCCUUAGGUCUGAAAUAUUAAAACUAUAGGUGCAGUCCUGAGGGCUGAAUACUGAUGCUCAGACCUUCUUGGGUGGUACCAGGGUAAGAGUUGAUCCAGGUCUAUGAUUCAUCUGCCAUCUCUUUUGCAAUUACAUCGCUUUUCUGACCUUUUAUAUAUUUACUUCAUAGCACAGAUACAGUGUUUACUACUUCUUUGGGGACAUAAUGAAUUGCAAACACAACGUCCUUUCCCCCAACAAGACUAAAGCAUAAAUAGCUCAGUCGCUAUCAACCAGGAGCACCACACAUAUGUACUUCCUUAUGUAUUUUUAUGUGCGGAUAUAUUUUCAUAGAUAUAUAAGAUGUGGAACACUGACAAUGUGCCAGCUUAGCCCAUUAAGGAGCUGGAUACAUGUCUUUGGCAUCAGCCACUUCUAUUACACAGCACACAGAAGCAAUAGCAAAGGCAGCCUUAGAGGGCAAAAAUCUCUACUCUUGUACUAUUAAUGCAUAUAAUUCCUAGCUCAUCUGUGACAACUUGUAUUAAAAUUUUGCUAACUAGAACUGCAAUCAUACCUUUUAAUCCACUCUAUGCUUUGGAAACGAGACCUGGCGUGCAUCUGGGCUGUCCUCAAUAGCUGUGCCUGCAGUCUCAGAACAGUGAUUUCAGUGAGGUUUAUCCAUCCUGCAGGGAGAAACCUUAAAUAUAACCUGGUGUUUAAUUUGUCUUGACUUUCCCUGUUGGCUUCUCCCAGGCUAAAGCCAGAGUGUAAACUAACACAUAAGGAGUAUGGAUGAAAUGGGUGCCAGGACUUGACUGUAAACUGCUGCCCAAAUUAGCACAAUGGUAUAGUUACUAUUAAAACAAAUUGCCCAAUGUUGUAAAGAGACCUCCAAAAGUUGAAUUUGUGAAGCUCUCAUCGUCUUAAGGCACAGGGAUCUAUUUCUUGCCUUUUCAAAAUACAGAGCCUGAAUAUGAAAACUUUCAUUGCCCUUUCCACUUGCCUAUUCUAGCGUUCAUGUAGUUUAGAUUUAAUAAAUUCUCAGAUAAAAGGUCUGGUAUAUAAGCACCAGUUACGAGUGACAGCUUCAGUGAUGGUGGCAUCUACCUUCUUUUGGGUUCUAUUGGUCUAAACUGUCCUUUCCUUAAUGUGUGGAACCUUGUUCUACUUUGGGGACAGCAGGUAUAUGUAAUCCAAAAUAUCCUAUCUCCAUCUGGAUGCUCCCCUCCUUUCUUCAUCUAGCACUUACUGCAUGAAUGCUACCAUAAAGGUACCACGAGACGGUGCUAAGAGCACAAAUGGAUCUCAUUAAUUGUUUUAGGAAUGAGAAAUGAAAGAGCAGUGACACUGUGGAGGCAUUAAGGGACAGAAGAAUCAUGGCAUGAGCAACAAAACCCUGUCAAUCCUCUUGGUGCAACCCUCCCUCUGCUUUUCAUUCAGCCUGGGCACUGCUCUCUGGACAUGAGCUGCCACCAUGGCAGCAGUGGCCCCUACCUGCUGCUGGCACCAUGUCCCCUGCCAUCAGCUUCUGUGACCAAUGCCCAGUCAAGCUGCUGGGCAGGCAGAAGUCCAGCCUGGAAUUGGCCACUGCUGCAUCUUUGGGUGUCACCAGCACUAAAAAUGGAAUGGCCCUUCCAUAGCUAUCCAGUGCCAGCAUCCUUCCAUCUUUAAUGCAGUUGGCCCAAGAAAACUUGACAUUGAGAGCAAUGUUAGCUAGGAUUGAUGUUGCUGUGAUGCUGUAAAAUCUUUAGUGAAAUGGGGUUUGUAGCUGCUAAUACCCCUUUUCUCCUCCUAGGCAAGACAACACCACCCCAUUGCACAACCUGUGCUAAGAGUUACCAGCCCAGCUGUGCAGGGCAUCGCCGUGCAAGGCUCUGCGCUGGGCUGGGCUGCUCACAGUGCCACGCCAACCUGCCUGUGAUCCACUCUAGCUGGGCUAGUGCAAAAAUCCCAGCUCUUUGCAGUAAGAUUUAAAUUCUGGUUUGUAGAGAAUAUGGAGAAUCGUUGUGUGUCACAGUCCACUAUAAAAACUUACUGCUUCCCCAAACAAUUAAGGUCUUUAGGAGACAAUCAGCAAACUGACUUAUUUCUCCUGUAAACAGGAAAAACACAUCCCUUACUGCUGCAGAGGUUCCUAAAUGAAGCACAGCUGGAUGGCUGCCAGUAAAGCCUUAGUAUAGUAGUUGGCUGGGGAACAAGGAUGCCCUGGCAACCACGUGUUUGUUAGUGAGGAUGCUGCAUAAUUUUUAACAAAUGGUUGUGAGCUAAGGCUGGGGGUGGAGGUGUGAUGAGGAGGGAGGUCUGCUUCCCAGAGAUUUACACAGGAGCUGCUGCAGAGAAGGUAAGCACUCUCCAUGGAAAGCAGUGCUGGAACAAUGGAAUCAUAGAUGUUUAAGGCUAAAGAGCCUUCAACAAUUUUGCAGGUGUACUUAACUCUUUCUUCUAUCGGCUUGAAGCUACAAAUGUGACACGGUGCCUCACCAUCACAGGACAGAUCUAAGGGAACAUUAUGCAGGCUCCUUUUGAAAAUAACAAAAAUUAAAGUUUACAGAGAGAAAGGGUGAAAAAGCUGGGUUAUGAACUGUGAUUAGUUUGGACUGCACCAACAUAUGCUCGAUCCCUGAUUUAGUUUUGUAGCUUCAAUCUCUUCCUCUGUGUAAGUAAAUGUGCAUCAGUGCAUUAGUAGUUAAGGAAUAAUUAUAAUUCUAACAUAGGUACUGAUGCUUUUUCUUGCUCUCCUAAAAAGCUAGGUCAGGUCACUUCUUGUGUACUGAGGAAGAAAGGUAAGUUCUUUUCAGAAAAUUGCUACACAUCAUUUGUUGAUCUCACCCUGGGGCAAAGGUCUCCAGGGUAAAGGUUUUCAUGCUUUCAUAAAUCUAAACUUCUGAGGAAGACAAUAAUGGACAGACAAGUGUCUUAAAUUAACAUUUAAGAUUACAACUGCAGAUUACCAUUGCAGUUGCAGCUAUUAACUGAGGCCUUGCAAACAUGUUCAUUAAUUCUGUCUACUGGUAACAGCCCCAAACCUACGGCAGCUCUUUGUGAGGGCAGGUGAGUUCUGGUGACCUUGCACACGUAUUCAGCUGGUGGUUCCUCUUCCAAAUCUUUGCACAACAGGAAUGGUCACUGCUAAGGAACAGAUGUGUUUAACCUCACAAAAAGCUCCAGUUCAUUGGGCUCGGGAACAAACUCAGGGGCACCUCUCAUGUAUUUCAUAGAGAUGGUGUAAAACUCAUUAUUUGAUAGUAUUAGUUAGUAUUUACAAAGUAUUUUAAAUUCCCAGAGAAAUCAUUAUAAAGUUGUUGUAGACAUUAUUAUUGCUAUUACUGUCAGGAACAAUAUUGUGUUUUAUAAUCUACACAAACACUAAUAUUGUUUUGUUUCUUAAGAGUACUUAUGUGCUUUAUAAAAUGUCGUGUAUUGUUCUCUGUGUCCUCUGAUCCACAGUAACUUCAUAAUGAUAAGAAAUAUUGACAUUUGGGGAUUAUUUUUUACUGUCUUUUUUAAAUACAGACUUCCAUGGAGGAUUUGCUAAUGGUAUAUGUGUGUGUUUGAAUUAAACCCUUUAAUGCUAGGGGAGGAGAUCAGUUUGACAUGGAAUUCAACAGCUGUUGUUUCUUUAAGGAGAAAAGGCCUGCUGGAUUUAAGUGUUUGAGUAUAUCUGGUUGACUGAACAGUUUCCUCAAGGAAGUAUUCAUUCAGUCAAUGUCCUGAAGGGUUAAGAAAACAGAAACCCAUAAUGUUACUGGGUUGUUGUUAGGUACGUUGCCAAGGGAACCCUAGCCGGAAUGUUUAAAUGUGUUGUUUCUCCCCAAACCCACAGGAGUGGAGCUUGAGUGUCUUGGUGUGCCCUAAUCCUCACAAUUAGUUUCUGUGUGGUAGGGGGGCUUAUGGGGCUGAUCAGACUAAAUACCUGUCGUGACAUUGGGUAACAUUCCCACCAUGCUCGGCAGAGUGGGUUUAGCAUCAUACUCAUCACUUAGGAGAAUCACAACCAAAAGCAGAAAAGGGAGUAUCUUAAAAGCCUCCUUUUUUGCUUCUCCCUGAACCUGUGGAUUUCUUUUAGUAAUGCAUAUUACGGAAAUUAAUGAUCCCCAAGGAGGUCUCCUUAAGACUUUGGUAAGAGAAAUCAUGACACUGAUCUUGACUCAGAUCCUUAAUAUCUGUAUUGUUUUGUCCCACAUGCCAUUUAAUUUGCUUCACUGGUGUAAAGCUGGAGGAACUUCUGUUGGAAAUGACCAUUUCAACAGAAGAGGCAAAUUUUAGCCUUGUUUCCAUGUAAAGGCUGGGCUCUUGCACUGCAACAGAUUUUUUCAGCAGAAAGCCUAAUCAAGCACUCCUUAUUUCCAGAUAAUUGCUAUAAGAAAAAUGCCUAAAUGUAUCUGUAGAGGUCAACUAUGCCAUAGAUAUUUCAAGAAGCUGGGAACAACCCUCCCAAAGCCUUCCAUUGGGCCAUCACUCUCAAAUGUUGGGCCUGUUCUACCACCAUGGUUUUUUCAUGGAUGGUUGGUGGCACUCAAUUGAGUCAAAACUAGCUAAGCAGCACUCCAUCCCUUGUUGAGUGUCAAACAUUUUUCCUAGCACAAACUGAUCCACACUUUGACCCAUUUAUGUAUUUCUUCUGGUAUGUGGCAGGAUUUGCAUUCAGUGGAAUGUUUUCACUUUUAUACUUGUACCCCCUCCUAUCACUCAACAUAAUGUUUUUAAUAUGAUCCAAGAUAAUUCUGUCUUAAUAUACUUUGAGCCAAGUUUAGUUCCAAUGGAUGUGGAAAACACAGAUUACCUCCUCCUUGCAGCAGCCUCUCAAGCGCAAAAGCUCAAUGCUUUCCCAAGGCAUGGUUUCUAAACACCUGAUAAUUCUUGUUGCCUCCUAAGCAGGACCCACAGCUUGAAAUGGAGACAUCCUGAGAUAGAGGAAGUUCUCCAGCUGGUCAGUGUUGGGGCAGAUUAUGCACUUUUUAUCUACAAAAGUCCUGUGUACACAUCCUGUUGUGAAGUUUCCUUUUUCUGUUCUUUUCUCAGUAUGAAACCAUUGAUCAACAGGCCAAGAGGCCUUUCUUUCUACAUCCAGAUAAAACAGUGAGCUUAAGCUUUGUCAUGUCCUGGGGUCCUCAUCCUCCAGUUGUCCACACUGGGAGUCAUCUGAACUGCAAAACACUGAGGAAGACUGGUUCACACCUGGCUCUUCUACAGACGAUGAUUUCAAAACUUCUUUCAAGUUCUUAGAUUUUUAAAAGUUGGGAAACCAGAGUAGAAUCCUGGGGAGUCAAUGCUUCCAUCAGUGCUCAUAGGCCAGAAGUCCUAUUUCCACCAGGAUCAGAAUGAGUGGACAGUGCUGAAGCUUAGGAAUGCUGACAGCACACAUUUCCCAGCUGUGAUGAAUCUCAUGAUUUAAAAUAAAAGAACAAAGGAAUAAAAGCCAAAGCUUGAUCAAUGAUUUCUGUGUCUCUUUUACUCCAUGACUUUUGAUAUGGUGAUGCAAAGAGGGACAACUCACAAGAAUUAAUUUUUUGGUUUUUUCUAUUACCUAUUUUUGUGAAUUCUGAAACUCAUGCACAAGUUAGUUUGACCAGGCAUUUCUGCACAGUUUUGAAAGUUUUAUGUUGGGCUGGACUGAGGUGCAUUGGCAGGAGCUGAAUGUGGUUUGCCUACAAUCUUGUUGGCUCAGGUUUGUACUUCAUUACCCAGAUUUAUUUAUGUUUUUAUUUAAAAUAGUCUCUUAGAAGUCUCUUUAGGUAUUCUCAGGUCUUGUAAACUGAAUGCAAAACAGAAGCUACUAUUUGAGCUGAGUCCACUAUGUAAAAGACAAAGAACCUAUUAAAAGCCCUAUAAAAAGCAGUGUAACCAAAGCCCUGCACUCCUCAGAAGAGUUAUUCCUGCAAUGGGUGCUAAACUCCAGAGCCCUAAUGAUGGGGCACUCCUUACCUCUUUUCCUUUGCCAUUUGCAACCACAAGGUGAGGAUGAGCAAAAAUCUGCCUUUUUCCUUUUAUUAGGUGCAGGAAACUUUUGUUUUGGCAGUGCUUCUUUUUGUCAUUCACAGAGUUUGUUUUUCUCUUGAUUUUUUUGGGAGCUUUUUAUUUCCUGUCAGAAUGUGGAGGAGAAAGCUGUUCUAGUCUGUAAGUUAUGCACCCCUUACAGUGCCCCUUAGUUACACAGCACAAGCAAAAGAGAAACAGAAUCCAUGGCACCAUGCAGAAAUGCUGCACUAUAUAGUUUGCCCUGGUUAAACAUUCCCAGAAAGGGAAUAACACAACGCUGUGGAGCUCCUGAAUGUCUUUUGGCCUUUGUGCUGCAGAGGUGCAGGCAUUUAGGGUUAAACUGAAACAGUGCUGGAUUCUGGGCAAAUUAGUUUUCAGACCUGAGCUACGUAGAUCAGAAUUAUUUCCUUUUCGUAUUACCACAACCCUAUCUCCUCCACACCUGAAAUAAGUGGCAUCUGGAACCUUGAAAAGCAAUAUGCAACAGCUGUGUGAGAAUUUAAUUUGAUACAGCCACAUGCCCCCAUCUUCAGCCACCUUUUUUGAUCUUUCUUCAAACAACUUAAAAUAUAUCUACAAAAUAAUGCUGAAGGUCUUGUAUGUACAGAUUUUUGUAAAAAAUACAUACAUACAAUACAGUAUGUAAUUCUGUCAUUUUUUGCCUUGUCUUCUCCACAUGCAGAGAGAUGUCAAAGUGGAAAAGAAAGAAUGGUUAUUUAUUCACAUUUUUCGAAGCCUGCAAGAGGAAAGAGUUGCAUUUUUAGAUUGAGUUUGGGAUGGUCUCACUUUCUCCUCAGCACUGAUCUUAUAAUUCACUUUAUCUUGUUCUGAAACAUUUUGGUGAGGGAACAUGAGCACUGACUCUAGUCAGCUCCUUUUAGCUGCUGGGGUUUUCUGAAUUCUCCCUCAGUACAUUCAUGACUAGUGGUGCCUAAUGACAAUGGAUCAAACCAUUACACUUAAAAAGCAGCUUACAUGAAAUUUGAACGUGCAUCUGUAGUUUGUGAAUCUUGCGUCAGCUGCUUUUUCUUUGCUGCUAAUAUUUGAACCUUGCACAUUCCUACGAAUCUAUGCAUAUGCUUUAAAGAUCCACCUUCAAGAUCAAACCCUUUAUCUGUUUAUACUUACGCUUAUCCUUAAAGCAUCAUGUAGACUUUAGAGCUGCAAGGACUGCUCAAAGCUAACUUUGUCUCUGAGAGGCUAAGUCCAUGCAAAACACUGGAUAAUAGUGCAGGUUCUGGUUGUGCUCAAAAUCAACUGCAAGUCUGAGACAACAGGAUUUUAAUAAUGUAAACAAGAAAAAAAGAGUCCUAUUCAUUAAAGUGCAUGUUGGAGUUGCUUGGUAGCUGAGAACAAGUUUCUACGGCAAAUGUACCACUAACUAACAGAAAAGCUCUUUCUGAUUUUUAAAUAUUAUUGUAAACUCUGAAUUAUGGUUUAUCUGCUAUUCUACCUAUUAAUAACUUUCUAUUAUGUUCAAUUAAUUAGUUAUUGGAAAAACACCAAGGCCAGCACUCGUACAACAAAUCAAACCUUUCAGCACCGUUAGAUGCUAGGGAUGCUGGCACACAUCUGCCUUUUCUGCCAACAGCACAACAACAACAACCCCAGCAGAACCAUUGCCUUUGGUUAGCCCCUGGAUUUUUACACUAGGAUUUGUUCAGUUGAUAUAAAAUGGUAAUUCAGGCAGUCCAAGUCAACACUACAGGGGGCCUCUAUAGGGGAAAACACAGCCCCUAAACAGGCUUCCAGAGUCCCCCCCUCAGGUUCAGAAUGCGGUUUUAACCAUCCCUAAGACGAACCCCCCACCAACUUUUACAGAGGCCACCCUCUGCUCACAAAACCUAGUCCCUUCCCUGAAGGCAUUCGGGAUCCUUUGAAAUGGAAAAUUUAUGCUGUACUGAAAUAGUUCAUACUAUAAUAAACAACUAGUGCCAUCAUUCUGCUGGUAUUCAGAGCGCAAUUAAACCUGAACCUCAUGUGAGGACUCCAUUUGGGGUAGAAGGUGGUGCUGUGGGGAGGACAGGCAGCUCACCCCAAGAAUCUUUCCUACUGCAGCAGGUUUUACUGCUUGUCCUCCCUGCCCCUGCAGUGAACAGCCCCCUUCUCCCUCCCCACAUUUUCACAAGGCACAGGGGCUUGUGGGGGAUUAUAUAACUUAUAGGUCAAUUUGUUGUUUGGGCAGAAGAAUGUGGUAUGUUGGCCGAAGCUGUUUGUUUGCUUAAGUUCUCAGAGUUCAAUGAGGUCAUUUUCUCAUCUUCCCUGUGUUUUCUGUAUUUUCCACAGACCUGCCAGCCUCAAACAACACCCUCUUUCUUCGCAUUAGAAAUGGAAACACGUCCUCUGCAGGAAUUUUCCACUUAAUAGCUCCUGCUUUCCUACCGGGGGCCUCAGUGCACCACCACUGCAAUGCUGUAUUUCUUUCCACUGCAGUUUGACAUUUUGCAGCCAGAACAACGAACGGCAUUCACUCCAUCCUGAUUUUUGAAAAACAUAUCUCUACAGGCCCACAGAACGCACCCAGUGCAGCAAUCACCAGGGGAAAAUGGCAAAGGUACUUAAACAUCAUUACAUGUCACUGAGGAUAUGACAUUGUCUGGUAAAAAUGCUCUUUUAUACAGUUGCUUUUCCUUACUUCCCAUUCCUCCACCCUCCAACCCUUUAUACACACACACAGACACCAAAGCCCCUGCCCUGCUCUUCUAAUACCAGCCACUCUCUUGUUCUACACUUGGUUGUAAUUGUUUGCCUUUAUGAAUUAUUUCCUUUGCAUAAUAUUUGCAAACUGCAUAUCAGGUCCUGACACUGUGAGGAGCAGAAAUGCACAUUGCAGAUAAUCUGAGCAGUAAACAAGAAGCCUGCUUUAAAAUGCAUCAAGUGACCUGUCUGAAGGCAGCAAUAUUUGCAGAUUGUUUACUGCUGAGAUGCAGUGAUGUCGCUGAAAUGCAGCAGCCUGAAGACCGGAGCAAAAUGGGAUCUCAGACACUCGGUCGAGCACAACCGAGUCAAGCAAUUUUUUUACUUGUUGUUUGCAUUCUGCUUUUUUUUAAGUUAGAAUUGUAUUAUAAAUUAUUA